UCCUGGCUCAGGAGUGAACGCUGGCGGCGUGCCUAACACAUGCAAGUCGAGCGGUAGAUACUUAAACAAAUCUUCGGAAGAGUGAGGGUGUUGAGAGCGGCGGACGGGUGAGUAACGCGUAGGCAACCUGCCCCAUACAGAGGGAUAGCCUCGGAAACCGGGAUUAAAACCUCAUAACGCGAAAGAGUCACAUGGCUUUUUCGCCAAAGAUUUAUCGGUAUGGGAUGGGCCUGCGUCUGAUUAGCUAGUUGGUGGGGUAACGGCUCACCAAGGCAACGAUCAGUAGCCGACCUGAGAGGGUAAUCGGCCACAUUGGAACUGAGACACGGUCCAAACUCCUACGGGAGGCAGCAGUGGGGAAUAUUGCACAAUGGGCGAAAGCCUGAAUGCAGCAACGCCGCGUGAGCGAUGAAGGCCUUUGGGUCGUAAAGCUCUGUCCUAGGGGAAGAAUAAAUGACGGUACCCUUGGAGGAAGCCCCGGCUAACUACGUGCCAGCAGCCGC
rnacentral:rRNA from 1 species